UCGUGUCUUAGAAUAAAUCGUGUUCCUUGGAAUAAAUCGUGAAAGACAAUAUAAAUAUAUGCUUGGAAAAAGAGAAAGAAUAAUAGUAGUGGAGGUGGGAGAGAUGAGAAAAGGAUAGAAGAGGAGGCACGUGCAAUCACGUGGCUCGGACUAGGUGAAUCGUUAAACAUUCUCUUUGAACCAAGUUCGAGGAAAAGUCAAUUGUUUGAUAUGAAGGAAAGAUAUGGGAAAUUAAAGAGAGACAUCAAUGUAAUUAUUUGUAUCCACGAAUGAAGAAUCCUUGCGAUUCCUUGAUGUUUUUCCCGUUUCUCGUUGUCAAUUGAUGACAAAAAAUGGCGGUUUCUUCAAUGAGUAAUGAUGGUUGCGUGUCUGCAUCGCGGUACCAGCGAAUUAUCACCCGAAAUGCAAUGUACAGUUUACGAAGCUAUUGCUCUCGCAAAAUGCAAACAUUUCUGUAAAAUCUCCAAUUUAAGAAAUAUGUUUGAUUGCAUGAUGGAAGACAAAGCAUCUUGCUUGCCGGGCAAAUAAACAUGAUUGAUUUAUCAUUCAUCUGAGAAAAUGAACAAAUUAUUAAGGGAGGUUUUAUCUUUGCCGGCCG